rnacentral:sRNA from 1 species
CUCCCAGCUCCAACAUAGUGCAAACUGCAGAAGAUUUUAACUUGCUCAAGUCAAGCGAUUUUAGAAGAUACGAAGUCCUUAGAGAGAUUCUGACAACCCUUGGCCUCAGCUGUGACAUGAAACAAGUUCCUGCCUUAACUCCUCUUUACUUGCUGUUAGCUGCGGAGGAAAUCCGGGAUCCUCUUAUGCAGUGGCUUGGGAAACAUGUGGACUCCGAGGGAGAAAUAAAAUCCGGCCAGCUCUCUCUUAGAUUUGUUUCAUCCUACGUGUCUGAAGUAGAAAUAACCCCAUCUUGUAUACCUGUGGUGACCAACAUGGAGGCCUUCUCAUCAGAACAUUUCAGCUUAGAGAUCUAUCGCCAAAAUCUGCAGACCAAGCAGUUGGGGAAAGUAAUUUUGUUUGCCGAAGUGACCCCCACAACGAUGCGUCUCCUGGAUGGGUAAGGUGUGAGCAGGUCUGCAUCUGCUCAGAGGAAUCCUGUUCCGUUGAUCAUCCUCUCUUACCAAUAGUCGGGGAGGGGAUAGAGUUGUAGAGGAAUACAUUUGACCAGACCUAUUAGCAAGGUGGAAGUACUCUUGUCCUAGAAGAGUUAAAUUGUGGGAAAGGAAAUUGAAGUUCUUUGAUCACAGGUUUGUUUUUUAUGAGAAUGGAAGGUGGUUGUGCUUUGUGUCUUGCUUCCUUGAAUCAGGCCCUCAGAAUGUUCUUUGAUAAACGAAUAUUAUGAAAAAA